rnacentral:rRNA from 1 species
UACAGAGGUCUCAAGCGUUGUUCGGAUUCAUUGGGCGUAAGGGGUGCGUAGGCGGCGCGGUAAGUCGGGUGUGAAAUCUCGGAGCUUAACUCCGAAACUGCAUUCGAUACUGCCGUGCUUGAGGACUGGAGAGGAGACUGGAAUUUACGGUGUAGCGGUGAAAUGCGUAGAUAUCGCAGGAAGACCAGUGGCGAAGGCGGGUCUCUGGACAGUUCCUGACGCUGAGGCACGAAGGUCAGGGGAGCAAACGGG